UGGCUCAGAACGAACGCUGGCGGCAGGCUUAACACAUGCAAGUCGAGCGCCCCGCAAGGGGAGCGGCAGACGGGUGAGUAACGCGUGGGAAUCUACCCUUUUCUACGGAAUAACGCAUGGAAACGUGUGCUAAUACCGUAUGAGCCCUUCGGGGGAAAGAUUUAUCGGGAAAGGAUGAGCCCGCGUUGGAUUAGCUAGUUGGUGGGGUAAAGGCCUACCAAGGCGACGAUCCAUAGCUGGUCUGAGAGGAUGAUCAGCCACAUUGGGACUGAGACACGGCCCAAACUCCUACGGGAGGCAGCAGUGGGGAAUAUUGGACAAUGGGCGCAAGCCUGAUCCAGCCAUGCCGCGUGAGUGAUGAAGGCCCUAGGGUUGUAAAGCUCUUUCACCGGUGAAGAUAAUGACGGUAACCGGAGAAGAAGCUGAGCUAUU
rnacentral:rRNA from 1 species